GGCUCGGUAGUUUAGUUGGUAAAGCGCUCGUCUAGCAUACAAGUGUCCUGGAUUCAAAUCUCAGCCGAGCAC
rnacentral:tRNA from 1 species